CCAGCAGCCGCGGUAAUUCCAGCUCCAAUAGCGUAUAUUAAAGUUGUUGCAGUUAAAAAGCUCGUAGUUGGAUUUGUGGCGUACUGUGGGUUCCGGGCACUUGUUGUCUGAGUAACUUGCAGUUGCCAUCCUUGGGUGGAACCUGCCUGGCAUUAGGUUGUUGGGCAGGGGAUGCCCAUCGUUUACUGUGAAAAAAUUAGAGUGUUCAAAGCAGGCUUAUGCCGUUGAAUAUAUUAGCAUGGAAUAAUAAGAUAGGACUUUUUCGCUAUUUUGUUGGUUUGCGCGAAGAGGUAAUGAUUAAUAGGGACAGUUGGGGGUAUUUGUAUUCCAUUGUCAGAGGUGAAAUUCUUGGAUUUUUGGAAG
rnacentral:rRNA from 1 species